CAGUGGUCAACUUCAUUGUCUCAGGUUCUCAGCCUGAAAUUAAUGGGAGCAAACUGGUUUCUUCUGAGCAUGAUGUCACCUCUCAGACAUCCUGGAUUAUUUUAGGUAUCAUAACUGGCACUAUUGUACUUCUCAUAGUUAUUGGGCUGGUUGUGUGGAGAAUGGGG